CUAUGCUCCAAUUAUCCGUUUACCUAAAAAAAAAAUAAAAAAUAAAAAAUAAAAAUAAAAAGAAAAGAAAUCGCUCGUUGCCGUCGUCCGUCUUCAUCCGUCUUCUGUCUUCGCCGUUGCCCCAAUCUACAGUCGCGUUGUCUUCCCCCGUCGUCUGCCGCCGCGCAUUCGGCGCCGCAUUCUUCCUCAACCGACGCAUUCAUCAAUUAUAGAGGGUAAACGGUUCUUCUUUUCUGCUCGCUGCCAUCGUUGUCCUGUCCAGCCUCAAACUGCUCAACCAUUGUUCGUCGCCGUCCGCCUCUGCUCCCCGUCGCAUUAUCUAGCAUCCUUCCCGUUUGCAGUUUAAAUUAGCUUGGAAUCCUAUUUUUGAAUGAGGGGUAAAUAGAAAAGAGAAUCAACGAACCUGCAAAGUCUUACCAAGCCGCGCACCCUGUAUCCCAAUUGUGAGCACCCUCCAAAGGUUGAGCGCAUUCAGACUAAAGAUAUACAAGCAAACAGAUGAUGCUCAACUGUGGGGUGUUAUUUCAAUGGCGUCCGUGUUCUCAAAUGCAGUCAAUGUGUUUGGCAUCUACAUCUGCUACUGCGGACCAGCUCCGACAACAGCUCAGUAAUCUUCACAAGGAGGCAGAAUCCACAAGAGUCAAAGCCAAAAGUUCAAGAUUGAGACUGAUGCGUCUGUGUGAAGCUGUUGAUAGGCUUAGACGGCAAGCAGCGAUCAAUGUUCAAAGUGGAAAAGAAAAUGAUGCUAGGGAGAUUCUAUUUCAAAAGAAGAAGGUAAUGCAAGCUAUUGAGAAGUUAAAGACUCGUAUUGAACUAUUUGAUGAGCUCUCUGCAAAACUCAAUGAGGCAAUAUCCAUGAAGGAAAGUGUACUCAUUGGGAAUAUGGCACUUGAUCUUGAUGUUGCGAAAGAAAAACCUGUGGUAUUAUCUGAAUUGUAUGGUGGUCAGAAUGUUGAUCUGAAUGAUCCAGAAUACCUAAAGGAUCAAAAUAAGGAAGGUCAUGCUGAGACUCGAGUAAACAUCGGUGAAGAAAUUGAGUUGAAUAACCAUGAUGAGUCUUCCAGUGAAAAUGUAUUGUAUGCAGCCAACAGUGUUGACAUACCAAAGCAAAUCACUAAGUAUGAGGACUUCCUACAACACCUAGACCUACAGCUCAACGAAAUUGAACAAGAACUCGAAGCAUUUCUAAGGUUUUCAAACUUUCUCCUCGACAGCAGAGAAACGCCCCUUAAUUUAAAGGUGCAGCAUGCAGCAGAGGUUCUUGAGGACAUUCGUCGCGCAAGAAAUAGAAUUGCUGGUGGCACACUACUGUCAAGUAAACAGGAUUGAUGAAGUUUCAUUGUGAUGGAUGAAUGAAUGUCUAGAUAAUCCUUCGUGACUGACUUGUUCAACAAGGUGGUGACAAAUCAUGUUUAAGGACAGAGAAGGUUAAAAUUGAGGUGCAGUUUAUUGGACUGCAAGAGGACUUUGUUGAUUUGCGACGCCAAAUGGAAGCACUGAUGCAUACCAUCAAUGCUCGGACUGCAAGGAUGGAAGAUUUACGACUCUUUCUUAUAAGCUUUACCUUGUGAAAUUGAAGUGGAUUUGCAAGCCAUUGGAUUGCUACUUGCGUCACUUAUUUCAUGAGGAGAAGGCAUCAAACUCCAUGCCCAUGCCAGCUUCAUCCCAGCCUCGGCCUCAGUUUGUGUAUCUAUGCUGUCUCUACCUCCCAUGGCCUAUUGGGGAUAUUAUCAACCUAGCUAUACAACCUUACCAUUUCAAGCCACUCGACAAAUCCAUAGACCUUUUCGGCAUUUAUCGCAACAAGAGUUUUCUAAGUUAAAGGCUAAAGAUUUUAUGUUUUCAUUUACCAUCCAUUGCAUGAAUGCUCCCGAUAGCAAUUACAUGCUCGUUUUGUUGAGGAAUGAGAUUUUUGGGAGGUUUUUAGCUAUUAUAUGACAAUGAGGGUAAGCACACUCAAAUGGACAUGGUUGAGGUAGAUGACUUUGAGAUUUGCAAAAUGCCUUGCCAUUGUUUUCUUUUGUUGGAUGGGGAGAAUUGUGCGGGAAGAAGAAGGUUUCUAUGUUAUUAUUAUUAUUAUUAUUACUCCCUCUGCCUCUUAAGUGGAUAGGACACGAAAUUUAAGGAAUUUUGACAUUAUAUUAGCAGUGUGUAAAAAGUAUGAAUAAAAGUUUUUUUUGUUUUUGUGAGUGUAUUAGUGUACAAAGUAGUAGCAAUUGUGUAAUAGAAAUGAAAAAGUAGGGAUAGUUUUAUAGUGAUUUAUUUAUGAAAAUAAGACUAUUGUUUUGGAACAGACAAAAAUGAUAAAC